UUUGGUUGUAAAUACCUCUUUGCCAACAAAAAUUCAGAUUGCAGUAGAAAUACACCAGCAAACAAAUUAAAUACAUUUCAACCAUAUUUCUUUAACACAACAAACAAAACAUAUAUAUUAUUUAGUUACACUAAUACCAUGUAGUAGAAGCAGUGGCGAAUCCGGGAUUUGAAGGUCGUGGGUGCUCACUCUAACAUAAAGUUGAUGCUAAUCGCAUAGUAGAAGUAUAUAAUUAUUUAAAUGCGAUAGAGAAAAAUUAAUGAAAAGAUUACGAUUAAUAUUAUCAUUAUCAAAAAAGACUUCUACACAAGUCAUAAUGAACUACUAACAAUAUUAUCAUUAUUAACAAAAUUUUAGCCACAAGAUAUAAUUGUGCUCGACGAUUAUUCACAUAUUGAAAACGAUAAAUAAUAACAUCAUUUCUUACAGUUACGAAAGCUUUUUGCUUUUCUGUUUUUUACUUUUAAAGUACCCAAAUAUUUUUCUUUGAGCCACAAAAAUUAUUAUGACACAAAAAAUAUUAAGAGAGGCACAUUCUUUUCUUUUCAAUUUCUCCAGCUUUAACCAAAUCUUAGUUCUUACUUUUUCCCUUUUAUGUGUCACAAUGAGAAGAAAAUGUUUUAAAAAAAAAAGGAAAUGUCAGCAAUGGAAAGAAUAAGGUUAGAUUUGGAAUUAGGGAAAGAAGGGCAAUGCAUCGUGGGAAAGUAGCGGAAUUCGGCGUGGCUGAUAAAAUAUUUACUAUCAUAAAAAGCAGCUAAAUUUUCCUAAGAAAAACUUGCUUAGAUAUUUGUUCAAGACACCACAAGCCUUAACUUCCGCCGUUGAUCCAAAGCACCCAAGUAUACUUUUGUUACUGGGUGCUGACUAUUAAAAUUUAGAUAUUUGUUUACUAUUUUCUAUAUAACUACCGAAGCUCACAUUGGGGUUGAUGGGUAUUGGAGCACCACAAAUUAAUACGUAGAUCCGCCCCUGAGUAUAAAUAAAAUGAAAGUGACUGUCAAAAAAUAAACGCAUUUAAUUAGAAAUAAAAUAGGACAACUUCAGCUUAUUGCAAAACUUGAAAAUAUUGUCAUGCAUACAACAUUAGCUUUUCCAAUAAAACUUACAACUUUUCCUCCUUUAUCCCUUCCCUCGCAUUUCUCAUGUAGUUCCAGGAAUUGAUAGAAUUCUUUGCCCACGAGCAUAAAGAAGACUGCAAGAUCAGUUUCACCUAAACCAUGAAACAACAGAUAAGCAAGUACUAUAGUUAGUGCCAAAGCACCUAAUUAUCUUCCAUUGUAUUCAAUGCAUCAGUUACAGAAAUUAAUAGAGUUCUUUGCGCACAAACAUAAAGAAAAGUGCAAGAUCAACAUCACAUAAACUAUGGAACAACAUAUAAGCAAAUAGCAUAUAUAGUUAGUGCAAAAGCAGUUAAUCAUCUUUCAUUGUCUUUAGCGCAUCAAUUACAUGACUUCAUAUUCUUCUAUGUAAUUAGUCAAAUAUUUAAUGUAUAAUAUAUCAAGAUUGCACAAUUUAUGAGGAUGGGAAAACAACAGAAAUAGCGACAAAAACAGAAAGAAGUUUUAUAUUAAAGACAAAGUAUUACCUAAUCCAUAUGUACUCGUUAGUUCCACCUAGAUAUUAGUAUGUAUUUUCCCCCAAAAGAGUAUGACAGUAGCCUAUUAGUUAUAGAUUAAAAUCAGUUAAUUAAGUUGAGGAAAAUGUGUGGAUGUUUCUCAAUUAUUAAGCAAGUGGGAUACUAUUCUUGAAGACAACCAGAUCAUCACUGAAAAAGUAUAGUGAUGACCCAGAAUUUUGCAAGUGUUCAAUAAAAUCUACUAAUAAAUUGAGCUUAAUCUCAGUAGAAACACUCAUGCAACCUCUAGAACGGCGUCUGCAUAUAAAUUAAACUUUAAGUGUAACUGAACCUUACUGUUUCAAGAAUAUUAGUUAGCAAAUAUAAGUAAUGAUGCAAUAACUUAAAUUAGAGAAAAGGAACAUUCUGCCAAUAGAUAUGUAAAGUGAAAUAUAUUUGGUGCUAGAAAACUGAAAACGGUGUUUCGACAUUAUAAAUAUGUACAAUAACACUUUAGAACAACAUAUAAGAACAUAGGAUUUAUAUUAUUCUCUAGAAUAAAACCAAAAGUAUUUUGAAAUUGCGCAAAAAAUGUAAGAUACAAAGAUAACUCUUAAAGCUAGAUUAGAUUGUCUAAGUCAACUGAUUAAAUAAGUUCUAUAAUAUGCUGAAACGUUAAGUAGCUACAAAACUCUUAAGGAGUAGUUUUCUUCAUGAACAGAGGAUUUAUAAGGUUCAUUCCUCACCUCGCAAUAUGAGCCACCUAUAACACUAUCAAGCAGUUGCGUUGCAAUCCUUGCUUGUUUAUUCCCAUAUGAAAUUCAAUAAAAUCUUAUGUACACUUGGAGAUCUUUCACUCGUUUGGUCUUGUCCAUCACCAAAAUGAGAGAAUAAUGACAGAAUGCUCAAAAACUCAAUUUUGAACCUUAGGAUAAAAUCACAAAUUUCUUAAUGAAAAUACAAAAUAAUAAUUAAAAAAAAACAAAGAAAACAGGACUCCCUAAUUAAUCACCAUUUUGCUCCAUCGUAGCUUAACUCUCACCACUGAGAACCUCUCCUUAUUUCUCUUAAUCUUCUUGAAGUUCAACGACAACUCAUUUUACCACCCAAUUGACGACGUUGUUGAAGCAUUCAUGGCUUUAAAUAUCACCGCCAACUCCAUUUUCGACAACUCAUUUUACCACCCAAUUGACGACGUUGUUGAAGCAUUCACGGCUUUAGAUAUCACCGCCAACUCCAUUUUCGUCAACCGAUAAUUCAGCUCAUCUUAAAUUAAAACUCCUUUGGUUGGAAGACAUUUUUUCACAGACUUAUUACAGCAAAAUAUUUGCUUUUCAAAUAGCUCUAAAAAAAGCAAACAAAAAAGCACCUUAGUCGACUUUAAGAAGCGCAUUUUAUUGUUUAUUCUAUUAACAAUACAAAGGUAAUCAAAUGCAAUACAAGGCCGCAACAAAUUUAUUGCAAAGUAAAUAUCUUAGGUUCUAAAUUUACCAUUAUUUUUAUGUAAGAAUUAACUAAAGCCUAUUCCUAGAAAAACUAUCUGCCAAUUUCAAAAAUUAGAACUUCAAACUUUUUUGACAUACUAAAAACUAUGGAAAAAUAAUGAUGUUUUACCGUCCAACUACUAUUUAAUACGACUGGUUAUAGGAAGCUUGCUUAAAUUCAAACUUAACUAAUUCCUGAAUCCAAGUAGCCUUCCCCUUUCAAUUGUUAUUCUUCCAACUUCUCUAAUCUAACUUACAUACAGUCCUAUCACAGAAAGAUAACUCCACAUGAAACUAAGUUCACUUCAAUUCUUCAUGGGUCCAAAUAUCUAUCUUAACAACAUUAGCGAGCACUUUUUAGUGAUAAAAUUACAGUUCCUACAGCAUAUUUAGCCUCAAUGGUUUGUUGAGGCAGCUACUUCUAUUCCUGUAUAAAUCACAACAUCAAAAAUAACAAAUUUUGCAAAAGAGACUGCUAAAUUCUACAGUGUUAUACACCAAACAUUGCAGCAUUAGUCAAAUGUGACUCAAGAUACAGACGCAGUCACACAAUCGAUAAUCUGAAGAACUUAUCCGGAUAUAUAUACAUAUACAAUCUAGAAUUCAAAGAAGUACAAAAAUGGCCAGCCAAUCAUAUGCGAUUUUUCGCAAGUUUGCCCCAUAUAUUUUUUUACAGAUAUAUAUGUAAAAAUUAUAUAGAUAGAAGUGUUAGCCCAUAUUGUUUCCUAGAUAUUCUUAUGCUAAAAUUUGGUUAAAAUUUUCACAUUUCAUGAUUUGUACUUGGUCCUUCAUUUACUUUGGAUGUUUAUGCUCUUUGGAGCCAGUUAUCGAAGCAUUUGAUUCAAGGUUUAUUUGUAGCUAUCUCAUCCAAUAAACUUCAGUUAAAUAGAGGUAUUCUCUCCUGAAAUAUUUCAUGACAGAAUCUUUACCUUUGGUCAAAAUAUUUGUUAGUGUGAGUGGUCAGUUUAUAGCCUUCUCCUAAAGUUGCUAAAUUGCUCUACGCAAACAACUAAGGUACUAAUGAAAAAAUACAAAACAGAAAGAAAAAGAAAAAGAAAAAGAAAGAGUCUCUUAUCUUCACUGAAAGUGCAAAAUACAUUCUGGAUGACUUCUUUAUAAUUCAUUCACAAGAAAAAUGAGACAUCAAUUACAUGAUAAAGCAUUUGCAAUCUUAGAGAUAAACACUCGCUUAAUCCAACAGAAAUAAUUUAAUGCAAGAAACAAAAACCAAAAUUGAAACAAGCAGAAAAGAGAAGGGACAAAGACAUCGUUAAUAUUCUUUUCGAAGUAUUAGCGUUUCUAAUUCAACUUUUUAUUACAUUGAAGAAUUUUGUCAAACACCUAAACAACAAAAGCCAUUGAUAUUUCUCAAUAGAAAUACAGAUAAAGAUAAAUCAAAGAGAUGGUAGAAGUGAUACCCACUAAAAAAUACGAUCGAUGGAAGAAAACACACUGCAAACUUAAGAACAAGAGGAAAUAAAGAGGAGAUAAAGAGGAGAUGGCGUUAGAUACACAGGGUAUUUAUUCUCCUGGAAGUGUUAGAUUGAGAUGAAAAACCAGCGGUGAUUGCCACACGUUAAAAUUAGAAUCCCACGUGUUAGCUAUAUAGAGAGCCAGUGAUAGACUGAAUAUCUUUGAAAUGACAGAAACACC
rnacentral:lncRNA from 1 species